GACGAACGCUGGCGGCGUGCUUAACACAUGCAAGUCGAACGGAAAGGCCCUGCUUUUGUGGGGUGCUCGAGUGGCGAACGGGUGAGUAACACGUGAGUAACCUGCCCUUGACUUUGGGAUAACUUCAGGAAACUGGGGCUAAUACCGGAUAUGAGCUCCUGCUGCAUGGUGGGGGUUGGAAAGUUUCGGCGGUUGGGGAUGGACUCGCGGCUUAUCAGCUUGUUGGUGGGGUAGUGGCUUACCAAGGCUUUGACGGGUAGCCGGCCUGAGAGGGUGACCGGCCACAUUGGGACUGAGAUACGGCCCAGACGGCUACGGGAGGCAGCAGUGGGGAAUAUUGCACAAUGGGCGGAAGCCUGAUGCAGCAACGCCGCGUGCGGGAUGACGGCCUUCGGGUUGUAAACCGCUUUCGCCUGUGACGAAGCGUGAGUGACGGUAAUGGGUAAAGAAGCACCGGCUAACUACGUG
rnacentral:rRNA from 1 species